rnacentral:rRNA from 1 species
CACUUGUUUGAUGCCAAUGGCACUGCCCGGUAGCUAAAUGCGGAAGAGAUAAGUGCUGAAAGCAUCUAAGCACGAAACUUGCCCCGAGAUGAGUUCUCCCUGAGACUUUAGGUCUCCUGAAGGAACGUUG